AGGGAAAAGACAAUGCUCUACAUACACAGAGGACUGCAUGGAGGACGAGGCACAGGUGGGAACAAGGCGAUAAUUAAAGCAGACUCAGGUGAAGACGAGACAGGUGAAGACAAUCAGAGUAUCAGAGGGAAAACAAAGACAGGAAGGGCAAGCACUCAUGAAAGUAUAAGGGGAAGUGGAAAUGAGGAAGAGGAGGGAACUGUGAAACAUAGAAAAACAGACGGUGCCUGACGUGGAUCUGGAUAUGUGGUUCUAAAUGGAUGAAUAUCUGGCUCUAAGCGAUACUGGCAGUAAAAGAAUCAUUCUCAGCAGCCGUGAUGGUACUGGAAAGAUGCCUCGCUCCAUUAGAAACUGCAGUCCAACUACUUGCAGUCCAAAGUCACCAUAUUGAUCAAAAGCACAUGGACUCUGUGGGCAGUGAUUUGCAUUGCAUAUUCACCAGCUUCCCCCUGAUAUUCGGCUCCAUUGUGGCUUUAAAGUGUCAGGCUGAGACAUGGCUGGAUAAAGAGCGAGUGGGUAUGGUGCAGCAGCAGAAAAUACCUAGAUGUCCACCUGAGGACAUCCCAGUAAUUCCUGCCCAUGAGGAGAGUGGAAUCAUCCCAAACACCAGUGAAAUUUACACCAUUUUCAAUUCUGUCAGAUUACUUCAAGCACAACAUGAUUUACAUGUCAUUUACCAAGUUCUUAUGAACUUCUGCAAAGUUCUACCAGGACACAUCAAAAGCUGGUAUGAGAUCUAGGCUGCCAGAACAGCGCCCAUCUACAAAGUAUCGGUGACACUGGUGAGGUGUAUGCAAAGACACUAAGGGAUUACUGAAACGAUUACUGCCCAUAGGUGUGAAUGUGAGUGAGAAGGGUUGACUGUCUCUCUGCGACAGGUGAUCAGGUGUACCCCGCCUCUCGACCUAUGAGUGCUCUGCGUUAGGCUCCAGCCCUUCUGCGACCCUGAUAGGAUAAGCAGAAGAGGAUGGAUAGAUGGAAUUCUUUUUUCAGGGCAAAUUAUUAGACAAAAGACAAUGUUACACAAGUUCACAUCCAAAAAGUCUGGAUUUUCUUUCACAAAGCGCUCGAUGUAAAGGCCUUAAGUGUACCGUCUGUGUGAUGAGAGAGAAAAAUACAGAUGUUAAACAGGAAGUAUUUGUGUCUCUAAGAGUCCCUGACAUAAGUGUCAGCGUACAACAAAUGAAAGCUGGCACUCAUACAAACACAAAACCUGAAAGGCCCUGAUGUGUUCCUUCAUCACAAUAAGAAAAUCUAACUGUCUUUCUCCUGGUGUGUGGGUCAGGGUGAGACUUGGUCUAAGGGUCUUUCUUAUCAGGUGGAAG